rnacentral:rRNA from 1 species
AAUGAACGUUGGCGGCGUGGAUUAGGCAUGCAAGUCGAGCGAGAACCCUCCGCAAGGAGGGGGACAGCGGCGAAAGGGAGAGUAACGCGUGGAUUAUUUGCCCCCGGGACCGGGAUAGCCGCGGGAAACUGCGGGUAAUACCGGAUGACGUCUCCGGACCAAAUGGUGUGAUUCCGCCAGGGGAUAAGUCCGCGUCCUAUUAGCUAGUUGGUGGGGUAAUGGCGUACCAAGGCAAUGAUGGGUACUGGGUGUGAGAGCACGACCCAGCUCACUGGGACUGAGACACUGCCCAGACACCUACGGGUGGCUGCAGUCGAGGAUCUUCGGCAAUGGGCGCAAGCCUGACCGAGCGACGCCGCGUGUGGGAUGAGGGCCUUAGGGUUGUAAACCGCUGUCAGUGGGGAGGAAAUGUCUAGGGGUUCUCCCCUAGAUUUGACCUAUCCGCAGAGGAAGUCAGGGCUAAGUUCGUGCCAGCCGCCGCCGUAA